CUGAUACAAUGAUGAGACCAUAGUUCAGCAGAUUAAACCAUGAAGAAGAACAAAUAGCACUUGUCUUUCGCUCCUAUCUGAUGUGUCGG
ensembl:snoRNA